UACAGAGGUCUCAAGCGUUGUUCGGAUUCAUUGGGCGUAAAGGGCAGGUAGGUGGUCUCAUUUGUCUGGGGUGAAAGCCUUGGGCUUAACCCAAGAAGUGCCUCGGAAACGGUGAGACUUGAGUACUGGAGAGGGUCGUGGAAUUCCCGGUGUAGCGGUGAAAUGCGUAGAGAUCGGGAGGAACACCUGCGGCGAAGGCGGGUUGCUGGGCUGAUACUGACGCUGAGGCGCGAAAGCCAGGGGAGCGAACGGG
rnacentral:rRNA from 1 species